rnacentral:lncRNA from 10 species
CUGAGGGGUGUUAGGAAAACCUCCUCACUCUCAUGUAGAAGACACAGGAAGAGACAGUCCUGCUCUUUCUCUGGACAUUAUCGUGUGUGGAAGUGAGGCCUGGUGCUGGGGCAGUCAUCUUGUCAAUACACAGUAGAGUCCAGGGCCAAGAGAACUGUCAACAGCCAGAGUUCUGUGACUCUGUGAUAAAGUCCAUCCUGUUUCUGGUUAUGUGAGAUAGUAAAACUCCUUUUUGUAUGCAUCAGGUUCUCUGGGCUUCAUGUUCAACACGGAUCUCACUGGGCUAAGAUCAAGAUGUCCAGCUUUGCUUCCUGGUUGCUGAUUCUGCUGACCCACAGUGACCUUGGACUCACCACCAGACAUGAAAGCAAUAGCUUUGCAUAGACUUCUUCAAUUGCCCAAGAGUCAAGGUGGCAUAGAUUUGCAUUUUAGAAGCCUUAAGACUCUGGCAGCAGCAUAGAGGAUGUUUUGGAGUUGGAGGAGACUGGAUACAGGGAAAAGAUCAAACUUGGGCCAGUCUGCAACUGAUGGCUGAACCUUCCUUGCUGUUCUGAAACCCAUAACUGGAAGUUGACUUGCCCUGAAUUUUUUCUUGCAUGCGACCCAAGAACCCCCUCUUGGGGUCUGGAUCAGGACCCCUUUCCUGUAACAUAAGGACAGCAUUCCUCCCAUCCAGAAGACACAGCAACAAGGAGCCAUCUUGGAAGCAGAGAUAGCAGCCUUCACCAGACAACCAAACCUGCCAGUGCCUUGAUCUUGGGCUUCCUGACUGUAAGAAAUAAAACUGUUCUUUAUCAAUUACUCGGUGUCAGGUAUUUUGCUAUAGCAGCACAAAUGAACUAAGACAGAGAGACAAUAGCCUUGAACUUGGAGAA